UACGUAGGGGGCGAGCGUUGUCCGGAAUCACUGGGUGUAAAGGGUCUGUAAGCGGACUGACAAGUCAGAGGUGAAAUCCUGCAGCUCAACUGUAGAACUGCCUUUGAAACUGUCUGUCUUGAGUCCGGGAGAGGAUGGCGGAAUUCCUGGUGUAGCGGUGAAAUGCGUAGAUAUCAGGAAGAACACCGGUGGUGAAGACGGCCAUCUGGACCGGUACUGACGCUCAGAGACGAAAGCGUGGGUAG
rnacentral:rRNA from 1 species